UACGUAGGGUGCAAGCGUUAUCCGGAUUCACUGGGUUUAAAGGGUGCGUAGGCGGGCAGGUAAGUCAGUGGUGAAAUCUCCGAGCUUAACUCGGAAACUGCCGUUGAUACUAUUUGUCUUGAAUAUUGUGGAGGUAAGCGGAAUAUGUCAUGUAGCGGUGAAAUGCUUAGAUAUGACAUAGAACACCAAUUGCGAAGGCAGCUUACUACACAACGAUUGACGCUGAGGCACGAAAGCGUGGGGAUCAAACAGG
rnacentral:rRNA from 1 species